UCAUUAAGAAGCUAUGAACCAGCGUUAGCCUUUUAAGCUAGAGAAAGAGGAACACAUCCCCUCCUUAAUGAU
rnacentral:tRNA from 1 species